UUCGAUUAGAGUUUGAUCAUGGCUCAGAUUGAACGCUGGCGGCAUGCUUUACACAUGCAAGUCGAACGGUAACAGGUCUUCGGAUGCUGACGAGUGGCGAACGGGUGAGUAAUGCAUCGGAAUGUGCCCAGUCGUGGGGGAUAACGCAGCGAAAGCUGCGCUAAUACCGCAUACGAUCUAUGGAUGAAAGCGGGGGACCGUAAGGCCUCGCGCGAUUGGAGCGGCCGAUGUCAGAUUAGGUAGUUGGUGGGGUAAAGGCUCACCAAGCCAACGAUCUGUAGCUGGUCUGAGAGGACGACCAGCCACACUGGAACUGAGACACGGUCCAGACUCCUACGGGAGGCAGCAGUGGGGAAUUUUGGACAAUGGGCGCAAGCCUGAUCCAGCAAUGCCGCGUGCAGGAAGAAGGCCUUCGGGUUGUAAACUGCUUUUGUACGGAACGAAACGGUCUGGGAUAAUACCCUGGGCUAAUGACGGUACCGUAAGAAUAAGCACCGGCUAACUACGUGCCAGCAGCCGCGGUAAUACGUAGGGUGCAAGCGUUAAUCGGAAUUACUGGGCGUAAAGCGUGCGCAGGCGGUUUUGUAAGACAGGCGUGAAAUCCCCGGGCUCAACCUGGGAAUGGCGUUUGUGACUGCAAAGCUGGAGUGCGGCAGAGGGGGAUGGAAUUCCGCGUGUAGCAGUGAAAUGCGUAGAUAUGCGGAGGAACACCGAUGGCGAAGGCAAUCCCCUGGGCCUGCACUGACGCUCAUGCACGAAAGCGUGGGGAGCAAACAGGAUUAGAUACCCUGGUAGUCCACGCCCUAAACGAUGUCAACUGGUUGUUGGGUCUCUUCUGACUCAGUAACGAAGCUAACGCGUGAAGUUGACGCCUGGGAGUACGGCGCAAGGUGAAACUCAAUGAAUGACG
rnacentral:rRNA from 1 species